GAAAUGCGAUAAGUAAUGUGAAUUGCAGAAUUCAGUGAAUCAUCGAAUCUUUGAACGCACAUUGCGCCUGCCAGUAUUCUGGCGGGCAUGCCUGUCCGAGCGUCAUUUCAACCAUCAAGCCCCCGGGCUUGUGUUGGGGACCUGCGGCUGCCCGCAGGCCCUGAAAACCAGUGGCGGGCUCGCUGUCACACCGAGCGUAGUAGCAAUCACCUCGCUCAGGGCGUGCUGCGGGUUCCGGCCGUUAAACAGCCUUACAAAACCCAAGGUUGACCUCGGAUCAGGUAGGAAGACCCGCUGAACUUAAGC
rnacentral:misc_RNA from 1 species